rnacentral:rRNA from 1 species
GACGAACGCUGGCGGCGUGCUUAACACAUGCAAGUCGAACGAAGUGGAGAACGGGUGAGUAACGCGUAAUCAACCUGCCCUUCAGAGGGGGACAACAGUUGGAAACGGCUGCUCAUACCGCCUACCGAAGGAGGCGAAUGCGUCUGAUUAGCUAGUUGGAGGGGUAACGGCCCACCAAGGCGAUGAUCAGUAGCCGGUCUGAGAGGAUGAACGGCCACAGUGGGACUGAGACACGGCCCAGACUCCUACGGGAGGCAGCAGUGGGGUAUCUUCCGCAAUGGACGAAAGUCUGACGGAGAAACGCCGCGUGAGUGAUGACGGCCUUCGGGUUGUAAAGCUCUGUUAAUCGGGACGCGGUACCGGAAUAGAAAGCCACGGCUAACUACGUGCCAGCAGCCGCGGUAAUC